rnacentral:rRNA from 1 species
UGGCGGACGGGUGAGUAACGCGUGGGUAACCUGCCGUAUACAGGGGGAUAACACUUAGAAAUAGGUGCUAAAACCGCAUAAGCGCACAGCGCCGCAUGGCGCAGUGUGAAAAACUCCGGUGGUAUACGAUGGACCCGCGUCUGAUUAGCCAGUUGGCAGGGUAACGGCCUACCAAAGCGACGAUCAGUAGCCGGCCUGAGAGGGUGGACGGCCACAUUGGGACUGAGACACGGCCCAAACUCCUACGGAAGGCAGCAG